rnacentral:rRNA from 1 species
CCUACGGGAGGCAGCAGUGAGGAAUAUUGGUCAAUGGGCGGAAGCCUGAACCAGCCAAGUCGCGUGAGGGAAUAAGGCCCUACGGGUCGUAAACCUCUUUUGCCGGGGAGCAAGGGCGGGGACGUGUCCCGGCCCGGAGAGUACCCGGAGAAAAAGCAUCGGCUAACUCCGUGCCAGCAGCCGCGGUAAUACGGAGGAUGCGAGCGUUAUCCGGAUUUAUUGGGUUUAAAGGGUGCGUAGGCGGGCUUUUAAGUCAGCGGUAAAAAUUCGGGGCUCAACCCCGUCCGGCCGUUGAAACUGGGGGCCUUGAGUGAAGUAGAGGUUGGCGGAAUUCCGAGUGUAGCGGUGAAAUGCGUAGAUAUUCGGAGGAACACCGGUGGCGAAGGCGGCCAACUGGGCUUUAACUGACGCUGAGGCUCGAAAGUGUGGGGAGCAAACAGGAUUAGAUACCCCAGUAGUC